rnacentral:rRNA from 1 species
UACGAAGGGGGCUAGCGUUGCUCGGAAUCACUGGGCGUAAAGCGCACGUAGGCGGAUCGUUAAGUCAGGGGUGAAAUCCUGGAGCUCAACUCCAGAACUGCCUUUGAUACUGGCGAUCUUGAGUCCGGGAGAGGUGAGUGGAACUGCGAGUGUAGAGGUGAAAUUCGUAGAUAUUCGCAAGAACACCAGUGGCGAAGGCGGCUCACUGGCCCGGUACUGACGCUGAGGUGCGAAAGCGUGGGGAGCAAACAGG